AACGAACGCUGGCGGCAUGCCUAACACAUGCAAGUCGAACGAGACCUUCGGGUCUAGUGGCGCACGGGUGCGUAACGCGUGGGAAUCUGCCCUUAGGUACGGAAUAACUCAGGGAAACUUGAGCUAAUACCGUAUAAUGACUCCGGUCCAAAGAUUUAUCGCCUAGGGAUGAGCCCGCGUCGGAUUAGCUAGUUGGUGAGGUAAAAGCUCACCAAGGCGACGAUCCGUAGCUGGCUGAGAGGAUGAUCAGCCACACUGGGACUGAGACACGGCCCACGACUCCUACCGGGAGGGCGAGCAGUGGGGAAGUAAUUGGUACGAAUAGGGCGGAAAGACCUCGAUCCACGCAAUAGCCGCCGUG
rnacentral:rRNA from 1 species